rnacentral:lncRNA from 1 species
ACAGUCACCUUGACAUUGCUCACCUGCCUGGGCCUCAGCCCAUGACCAAGGAAACUUUUGCCCUCCCUCCCCAGGAGCUCACUUACAGGCCAUCUUCAAAGGUACUGCCUACCUGAACCUGCCUUGUCCCAAAGGACACACUUCAAUCUGGGGAGAGUUUAAAGUUGUAGACAUAUCCAUUUUCAUUUAAGGAAUAUGAAGAUCAGGGAGGCAAAAUAUAGAGAUAUAGAGAGGAAAAACUGAGAGAUGAUCAGAAAUUCAGACGCAUUCGGAAUGAGCACCCUUGACCAUACCAAGAACAAAGACUCUAUAAAAAUGUGAAGUCUUAUUAUUGUUCAUCCAUGUUCUACGUGGGAUCCACCCAAGACAUUGAAAACUGUACAGAACAGGGUGAAAUUGAAUCAGAUCAUUCUGUACUCCUAACAAGGUCCACCCCAUGAGAGACUUGCAGCAGAAUUAAUGACACUGUAUAUUUUCCUCUACUAACAACAACAAGAACAACAACAACAACAAUCUAGGAAAAUCAAAGGCAGCCCGACAUGGAAAAAAACACAAAAUGAAUAUUUGGAUUACAAAUAGUG